CGAACGAGUUUAGGCUCGUGGCGUACGGCUCAGUAACACGUGGAUAACCUACCCUUAGGACUGGGAUAACCCUGGGAAACUGGGGAUAAUACUAGAUAGGCAAUUUUUCCUGGAAUGGUUUUUUGUUUAAAUGUUUUUUCGCCUAAGGAUGGGUCUGCGGCCGAUUAGGUAGUUGGUUAGGUAACGGCUUACCAAGCCAUUGAUCGGUACGGGUUGUGAGAGCAAGAGCCCGGAGAUGGAACCUGAGACAAGGUUCCAGGCCCUACGGGGUGCAGCAGGCGCGAAACCUCCGCAAUGUGAGAAAUCGCGACGGGGGGAUCCCAAGUGCCAUUCUUAACGGGAUGGCUUUCAUUAGUUAAA
rnacentral:rRNA from 1 species